rnacentral:rRNA from 1 species
ACGUAGGUGGCGAGCGUUAUCCGGAAUUAUUGGGCGUAAAGGGCGCGUAGGCGGUGCGGUAAGUCACCUGUGAAAACUCUGGGCUCAACCCAGAGCCUGCAUCUGAAACUGGAGGGCUAGGGUGCUGGAGGGGAAAGCGGAAUUCCUGGUGUAGCGGUGAAAUGCGUAGAUAUCAGGAGGAACACCGGUGGCGAAGGCGGCUUUCUGGACAGUAACCGACGCUGAGGCACGAAAGCUAGGGGAGCAAACAGGA